GGAAAAAGUAUUUCGCUUUUUGUUUGGAGAUGAACGAGACAACACGAGGCACAGCGACAUAAAUAUGACCAACCAGAUCCCAAGUAGACAGGAACAAAUGAAGAUAUAGCGCAUAGAAAGACUUAUUCUUGGUGAUCAACUGCUAUUGACAUUUUUGAAUCGGGGCAAAUGUGGAGUGAAGAAAAACGUUUGCAACACAUCCAUUCCAGAGUGCUCUGACAGAUAAAACUGACACGCUUGAUGAGGACACAGUCAAAGCUUUAAAAGCCCGUGUGAUAAAGCAGUCUUCAAUUACUACGGUGUCUGAAUUGCAAGAAGAAGUCACCCUCCACUUAAACAUGUGACAUCUAAACUGUUUUGUGUUUUAGUUCAGCUUUUUAUAGGUUUAUCUUAAGUUGGUUUAAGGCAGAGUGCACUAUUUUUGAAAGCCAAUGUUAACAUUUGAAAUCACCUAAACAAACAUGCCUCUACCCCAAUAGAAUCUGGACCUUCUUUUGAUAGAGCCACCACACACAUACGCAACCCCGGCAAGGAUGUCAGUUAGUAGACACGCCCCUUACUGCUGGUUGGCUACAAAGUGUGUUUUGGUAGUCGGCCCAAUUUCCUUUUCCAAAGCGUUUUUCAAACAUUGUGCACUCCGUCUUUAAAUUGCACUUAAACAUUUUUUUUUCAUUAACUUUUUAU